GGCCUCGUGGCGGCGGGUGAUCUUGUUAUCUAACAAAUACAACAGCUGUCUUGGAAGCAGUACCUGGAGUAUAUAGCAGAAGUUUGGCUUACCAGUUAUGCUGUUUCCAUGAUAGCUGAUGUAUUAGUGACAUUCAUGUGCAAUGCAGAGCGGACGUUACUGGGGUGUUUUGGAGGCAAUCUAGUGGUCCACAGAGAUGAUGCUCUAACAUAUGGUGCCUUCUCUGGGUAAGUUCUCAGCUACUACCUAAAGCAAGUGGUGCAGAUAUCUCCAAUUUGGCACCACUGCUUUUAUUUCAAACACCUUUCUUAACUCUAUUUUCACUUUCCUUAUGCUUUUAUGCACAACCUCUCACAACAUUAUCAACUGACUUUGAUUUGACAAUUGCAUUUUCCUGAGUUAUGCAAGUAACUACAAGAGAUGCUACUGUGAUCCAAUGUGACAUAUGGGCCAGUGCCUUCCAUUCACAAUGCAAAGCUACCUAUCUUAUCAGCAGCUGAAAUGAUCUGUUAGUAAAAUAACUAAUGUACAGCGAGAUUUAUCAGAAACUUUUUUUCAUAUCUUAGAAAAUCUAGAAACCACUGCUCCUACUUGAGGUACCAGAAACACUAACUCAUAGCCUGUGCACAGUGGAACUAUUGUCCAUCAAUAUCAUAUACUUUAUGUCGUUCCAGUCCUCCUAGGAUGUAAAAAAUCAACAAGCUUUUGUAAGUAACUUCUCAAGUAACAGCUUUUUGGGUUUUGAGGUUGGGGGUCAUGAGAAUUAUCCUUUUUCCAGAUUGUUCUACUAUUUCCAACUUAGCAAACAGAUUAGUGGGUUCAUUGUUGCAAGUGCUCUACUCUCAGCAAAAACUUUCUAGAUCCUUGAAAAAGCUUUAAUCACUUAUCCAGGCUUUUCUGCUAUUGGAGCAGAUAUCUAAAGCAUGAAACUCAUGCAGGGAGCCCUUAGAAGUUUUGUAUUGUUUCUACCACCUAAGGGGUAGAUAUUAAAAUUUUCUUAAUAUUGAGCCAACUCAGUUCUUAUCACAGUUACACAAAACCACUGCAUAAUUCAAUAGACAAAUUGUCUGAAUCUAAUCCCAUAAAAAGAGAAAUUAUGACAUGUUUUUAAAAUCUAGACUUAAUAGAUAGCCAAAUGGCUACAAACCACAUCAGGCUGAAUGAAUCAGAUACCAUCUGUGAUAAAAGGCAUGUUGAAUAAUACAGUCUAGAUGCAAAGCAUAUUGAACAGAA